CCUACGGGAGGCAGCAGUGAGGAAUAUUGGUCAAUGGACGAGAGUCUGAACCAGCCAAGUAGCGUGAAGGAUGACUGCCCUAUGGGUUGUAAACUUCUUUUAUAAAGGAAUAAAACGAGGCACGUGUGCCUUUUUGCAUGUACUUUAUGAAUAAGGAUCGGCUAACUCCGUGCCAGCAGCCGCGGUAAUACGGAGGAUCCGAGCGUUAUCCGGAUUUAUUGGGUUUAAAGGGAGCGUAGAUGGGUUGUUAAGUCAGUUGUGAAAGUUUGCGGCUCAACUGUAGAAUUGCAAUUGAUACUGGUAGUCUUGAGUACAGUUGAGGUAGGCGGAAUGCGUGGUGUAGCGGUGAAAUGCUUAGAUAUCACGAAGAACCCCGAUUGCGAAGGCAGCUUACUAAGCUGUGACUGACAUUGAUGCUCGAAAGUGUGGGUAUCAAACAGGAUUAGAUACCCUUGUAGUC
rnacentral:rRNA from 1 species